GUGUGUAGGGGUUUGACCGACCGACCAAUGAUCAUAGAAAUGCAUGCGUCUCAAACUUACAUACCUUUUUGGGUAAUCGGGGAGGAAUUUUGAUUUCUUAUACACACACUUUUGUACAUAUUAUUUCAGAGGGUGUGAUUCCAUAUACUUGCUUUGUCGAUACAUAUUCAUAUUCAUGCCCCUCAAGUUUUGGUCAUAUCAUGAAUCACGCCAAUUAAUCGCAGAAAAAGAGAAAAUACCUAUAAUUAUAGUUUCGUAUUCAUCGUGACACUUUUAACCUAUUGGUUUUGUCCGUGUAAACUAAUUGUAUAGGAGGCAGCGUAGCAAAAUAAUUGCAAGGGUGACAAAACAUGGAGGAGAAAGUUAUAUGCAUGCAUACUUACACCACCUUAUUAUACACCGUUCAUCCAUCAAAACAUGCAAUGAAAAUCAGCCGAGGAUAAGAAAGGAGGACGACACAUUGCCAUCCUACUUACUUCAAAGAGCUCCGUGACUGCCUUCCAGUCCCACUUUUAUGGAGGUGUAGCAGGGGUACGUGCAUGGCCAGAGAGGAGAAGAAGCUGGUGCUGAUUAGAUAGAAUCGAAUCGACCCCGGCCAAGGAGUCAGAGCAAUCUUGCCUUGCACGAAAUAAAUGCUUGUUUGCUUUCUCGCUUUCUCUCUCCCUCUCGCAUGCAUGGCACUUGCUGGAUUCAGCCUGCAAUGGAAAUGGAACCGAAAUGUUCUCCCCGUCUCCACAAAAAAAGCCUGGAACUAAAACUACUACCCGGGUAUAAGUAUGUACAGUUCGACAUCGAGCGAGGUGCAUGGUCAUAUCAACGGCACGGCGUCUUAUUUGGAAGAAAGAGACGGAUAUUGGUGAACAAAUGACAUUUCGGAUUGUGACAAUUGUAAUAAUCCACAUGUUUUAGAUGAAUAUAAAGUUAUGAUAAUUGUUGAGUUGAAAAACUUGGAAAUAUUUGCAGGAAAAUAUUACAAAUGGAAAGGAUCAACUAAAGUAUGACAGCAACGAGUUAUUUAUGUGCAUAAACUUAAAGACGGAUAAAAUUCUGCAAUGGUGUUAAAUAUCGGAUUCAAGGAAAUCAGUCAAGUAUUUAGAAGACAACAAUUAUGCGACCCACUAAAUUUUUUCGUAUGAACAAAAUAUAUUCACGUUUGAAUUACAUGGAAAAGAGCGACAAAUAAGUAAAAAUCCGCUCAUUAAUAAGUAACAUAUACAAUCCUCAAAAACUACAUAAUAAUAAUGCGGGGAGACUACGCACAAAAAGGGGUAUAUUUUUUUUGGCUUUGGAAAAAAUUAAUUGUAUAUUUUUUACAAGACAUUUAUCAUCAUCAUCAUCAUCUUCUCAAUCAUAUUUACCAAAGA